rnacentral:rRNA from 1 species
CGUGGCGAAUAGCUCAGUAACACGUGGCCAAACUACCCUUCGGAGCACGAUACCCUCGGGAAACUGAGGUUAAUAGUGCAUACCACAAUCCAGCUGGAAUGAGGAUUGUGCCAAACGCUCCGGCGCCGAAGGAUGUGGCUGCGGCCGAUUAGGUAGACGGUGGGGUAACGGCCCACCGUGCCAAUAAUCGGUACGGGUCAUGAGAGUGAGAACCCGGAGACGGAAUCUGAGACAAGAUUCCGGGCCCUACGGGGCGCAGCAGGCGCGAAACCUUUACACUGCACGCCAGUGCGAUAAGGGAAUCCCAAGUGCGCAGGCAUAGAGCCUGCGCUUUUGUACACCGUAGGGAGGUGUACGAAUAAGGGCUGGGCAAGACCGGUGCCAGCCGCCGCGGUAAUACCGGCAGCCCAAGUGAUGGCCGAUUUUAUUGGGCCUAAAGCGUCCGUAGCUGGCCGCACAAGUCCAUCGGAAAAUCCACCCGCCCAACGGGUGGGCGUCCGGUGGAAACUGUGUGGCUUGGGACCGGAAGGCGCGACGGGUACGUCCGGGGUAGGAGUGAAAUCCUGUAAUCCUGGACGGACCGCCGAUGGCGAAAGCACGUCGCGAGGACGGAUCCGACAGUGAGGGACGAAAGCCAGGGUCUCGAACCGGAUUAGAUACCCGGGUAGUCCUGGCCGUAAACAAUGUCUGUUAGGUGUGGCUCCCACUACGAGUGGGUGCUGUGCCGCAGGGAAGCCGCUAAACAGACCGCCU